CCCCUUCCAUUCCAAACACCCUCUUUCCUCGUGUUUGAGCACAAAAAAGACCAAAAAAAAAUUAUUUUCGUAUCUUCUUCUUCACUUGUCUCUAAAUUUUAUUUCUUUUUUUAUAUCUUCUUCUUCAUUUAUCUCUAAAUUUUAUUUCUUUUUUUUCACCAAUAAACCACUCCUUCCAAUUUUUUUUGCUUUUCUAAAUUUUUUUCUCACUUCUCAAACACAAUUUUUUAGUGACAAAAAGAAAACUUAACCUUCACUCCUUCAUUUUUCCAUCAAAACAAUAUCCAACAACGAUUUCAAAUGAAAAAAAUAAUAGAUUUUGGAUUUUGAAGAAUCAAUAAUAGGUAAUUGAAGAACCAAUCAAAAGAAGUCAUUGAUUGAAUUUUACUGUAUACAAAAGAUAUCAUUGAUUUCAGAUGCAAUUUGAAGGUAUAAAAUAUUAUGUUUAAAGAUUUGCAAAAGAGGAAGAUGGUGGAGGCAUGACAGAGAUACAAUGAAAAAGAUGAUAACUCAUCUUUUUUAUUUAAUUCGUUCCAUG
rnacentral:lncRNA from 1 species